AGAGUUUGAUCCUGGCUCAGAUUGAACGCUGGCGGCAUGCCUUUCACAUGCAAGUCGAACGGCAGCACGGGAGCAAUCCUGGUGGCGAGUGGCGAACGGGUGAGUAAUAUAUCGGAACGUGCCCAGUCGUGGGGGAUAACGCAGCGAAAGCUGUGCUAAUACCGCAUACGAUCUAUGGAUGAAAGCGGGGGAUCGCAAGACCUCGCGCGAUUGGAGCGGCCGAUAUCAGAUUAGCUAGUUGGUGGGGUAAAGGCCCACCAAGGCGACGAUCUGUAGCUGGUCUGAGAGGACGACCAGCCACACUGGAACUGGGACACGGUCCAGACUCCUACGGGAGGCAGCAGUGGGGAAUUUUGGACAAUGGGCGCAAGCCUGAUCCAGCAAUGCCGCGUGCAGGAUGAAGGCCUUCGGGUUGUAAACUGCUUUUGUACGGAACGAGACGGUCCUCUCUAAUAAAGGGGGCUAAUGACGGUACCGUAAGAAUAAGCACCGGCUAACUACGUGCCAGCAGCCGCGGUAAUACGUAGGGUGCGAGCGUUAAUCGGAAUUACUGGGCGUAAAGCGUGCGCAGGCGGUUAUAUAAGACAGAUGUGAAAUCCCCGGGCUCAACCUGGGACCUGCAUUUGUGACUGUAUAGCUAGAGUACGGUAGAGGGGGAUGGAAUUCCGCGUGUAGCAGUGAAAUGCGUAGAUAUGCGGAGGAACACCGAUGGCGAAGGCAAUCCCCUGGACCUGUACUGACGCUCAUGCACGAAAGCGUGGGGAGCAAACAGGAUUAGAUACCCUGGUAGUCCACGCCCUAAACGAUGUCAACUGGUUGUUGGGUCUUCACUGACUCAGUAACGAAGCUAACGCGUGAAGUUGACCGCCUGGGGAGUACGGCCGCAAGGUUGAAACUCAAAGGAAUUGACGGGGACCCGCACAAGCGGUGGAUGAUGUGGUUUAAUUCGAUGCAACGCGAAAAACCUUACCCACCUUUGACAUGUACGGAACUCGCCAGAGAUGGCUUGGUGCUCGAAAGAGAGCCGUAACACAGGUGCUGCAUGGCUGUCGUCAGCUCGUGUCGUGAGGUGUUGGGUUAAGUCCCGCAACGAGCGCAACCCUUGUCAUUAGUUGCUACAUUUAGUUGGGCACUCUAAUGAGACUGCCGGUGACAAGCCGGAGGAAGGUGGGGAUGACGUCAAGUCCUCAUGGCCCUUAUAGGUGGGGCUACACACGUCAUACAAUGGCUGGUACAAAGGGUUGCCAACCCGCGAGGGGGAGCUAAUCCCAUAAAGCCAGUCGUAGUCCGGAUCGUAGUCUGCAACUCGACUACGUGAAGUCGGAAUCGCUAGUAAUCGUGGAUCAGAAUGUCACGGUGAAUACGUUCCCGGGUCUUGUACACACCGCCCGUCACACCAUGGGAGCGGGUUCUGCCAGAAGUAGUUAGCCUAACCGUAAGGAGGGCGAUUACCACGGCAGGGUUCGUGACUGGGGUGAAGUCGUAACAAGGUA
rnacentral:rRNA from 1 species